rnacentral:lncRNA from 1 species
GACCAUAGGAGGCUGGAACUGGAAUAGGAUUUAGAGAUUGUGUCCAUGGAUUUUUAACCCCAGAGGAUCCAGAGAUGACACCAGCAUCUGAAAUUACUCAAGGAAGAAUACAUGUACAUGUGGAUGUGUAUUUAGAGUGGGAGGAGAAAUAAUAGAGAUGAUAUACAUAGAGUUCAGAAGAUUCUUAAUGACUCUAAAAACAGUAAGAGCAGCCACUUUAACUCAAACUCUUUAUCUUACACAAUAGGAAAAACUGAGGCCCAGAUUGGGGAAUAAAGCCACCCAAGGUGAUGAACCUAGUUAGUGAUUCAGAUGACACUGGUUUCCUCAAUGAUAAUCUAAACGCUCAUUCCACUUUUCACACUGCCUCUAUUCAAAGCCCUCCAAUGUGAGAUUUUAAAAAUGGAGCUUUUGAAAGUGGGAAGUUACAAUACUUUAAUGUUUGCUCUGUCACUCUUUUAGAUUGUUCUUCUUCCGGUGGGGGAGGGGAAAACACUUUGGAGCUUAAAAGUGGGAAUUCAUUUGAAAGAGGGUGAAAAUCUAAAGAAGCAGUAUGCCCUUGCUUCCAAACCUAGGUAAGAGAUAUGAAAACUUAACCUUCCAGCCAAGACAAGUUUUAAACAUUAUAAGGGCAGGUAGGUAAUAUUAGACUGUUUGAGACCCCUAUAUCUGUUAUAAACCUCAUUGAGCAUAGAGUGAUAGUCAGGAAUGGGCUGGCUCUGCAGCCAGAUUAUCCGAGUUCAAAUCUAGUCUCUUUCACUUUCCAGGUGUAAAGUCUUAGGCAAGUAACUUAGCUUAGCCUCUCUGUGCCUCUGUUUCAAAUACACUGGGGAUAAUAGUAGUACUUAUCUUCAUUUGGGUUUCUCCAAAAUAGAACAUGACAAGAUCUUGGAUGCAGGUAUUUGGCUUGGGAGAAUUCUCUGGAAGGAGUUACGAAUGACAAGAGUGAGACAGAGCUACAAUAGGAGUAAAUUACAGAAGUUGCUUCUAUAAGCAAUGGAAGUUUGACUCAGCUGAGACUUCCAAGAGUGUACAGAAUGCCUCUUAGAAUUGUCCAUUCAAAGGGUGGGAAGCUAGAGAAUUUACCCACCAGCUCCUGUGCAUCUGUGGUUGAGGGUUGCCCUGAGAAUGUUAAAUCCACUUCACUUCUGUGCCAGGACAUUAGAAAGAUCUAGUGACUUCCUGCACUUUAGAGAAGGCCUGAACAGGCAGACUGAUACUUGUGCAUGGGGUGAGACACUCAGCACAAGUCUGAGCUCACACAAAACUCUCUGCCAUAGUGAUGGCUGAAAUAUGAGUUAUGUCACAGUGACACAGGGCACUGGAAGCAUUGGCUGUGUUGUCUACCUCAAAAGCAUUGUUGUAGGGACUUAAUAAAGUAAUUCAUGUAAAGUGGUUAGAACGAACCUGGCAUAUAGCAAGGGAUCAAUUAUGUUAGCUGUGAUUCUUCUUUUUAACAUUUACUGAGUGCCUACCAGACACUAAGUGCUUUAUACCAUGUGAUACAAAAAUAAUAACAAUAAAUUAAGUGAAUAAAUAAAUACUAAAGACUGCUCUCAGUCUCUUCACAGUGUACUACAGGCAGCAAAGAAGCAUUUGUCAGUCAAAGCACUAGACAUCAAGAUAAACGUAUAUAUUGGGUGUAAUUGCUACACAAAGUAGAUAGCAACACACUCUGCCCAGAGGUCAUAGCAGUCAGAAAGAUUUCCCAGAGGAUGUGCUAUCUGAACACAAUCUUAGCAGUCACAUAGGAGUGGCCUCAGGAAUGGCCAUGGAGAUGACUGAAAUCAGAGUUAAGUCACAAUGACACAAGGCAGUGAAGGCAUUGACUGUAUUAUCUACCUCAGAGCAUUGUUGUAGGAAUUUAAUAAAGUAAUUCAUGUCAAGUGGUUAAAGCAAAGCUGGCACAUAGCAAGAGAUGUGCAUUUCAAGUACUGAGAGCAACAUAUACAGAAGCAAGUCACAGAAACAAGAAAGAACAUGAAGCUUUUAGAGAACAGCCAGGGGAUCAAAAAGGUCAAGACAUUGAAUUCCAUGGCUGACUGUCAGAAAAUAAAGCUGUACCAUGAAGAGGUCAAGAUGUGGUCAUAAAGGAUAAAGAGCUACAUUUGCCUUAGUUUGGGAUUAAUUCUACAGGCAACAGGGAACAAGGAAAGGAUUUGUUUUUUGGAACUUGCUAGAAGUAUGGAGGAUCGAUUUGUAGAAAACUAUACUGGAUACAGAAAGGAUCAGAUGGUAUUCUAUUACAAUAGCCCAAGAAGAGAAUGAAAUUGAUCUAGAUUUUUGGAGAGUAAGAGCCAUCUGUUCCCAUGGAUAACAGUAGCGCUGCCUUCCAAAAGUUAUUCCUAUUCACUGGAAUUGGCCUCAAGCAUCAUUUUACCAGAUAGUAUUUAAAACUGAGAUGAUAACAUCCAAUAUUAAAACCAUGGUGGGUUUUAUGUCUUAAUUUUGUUGCCUUUAACUUUUUGUUAGUUUUCUUAAGAGAAAAGAAGAGUGCAUGUACAUAAAUAAAAUGUCAGAGGCUUUUCUUUAAUCCUUUCCAAACAGUGCUCAACAAUUAUUUCUCCCUUUCUAUCCAGACUGUGUAAUUCCAAAAUGAUCAGAGAAAAACUUGCCAUCUGGAUGUCAUAAGUAAAUAACUUGUUUCUGAGGCCUGCCUGGAGCUGUCUGAACCAGUGCAAUCAUGGAGGUGUUGGCUAACGCACCUGAGAUGAAGACACCUUCGGGCUUAUUCUUGUACAACUGUUCUUCACUAUGACAUUUCUUUAGCAUAUGUCUGAAGAUCAUUAAAAGGUAGUGCUGCAAUCCUCUCCAAAGGCAGAAGACUGGAGAGAGAUAGAGAGAGAAUCAGAGAAUCUCCUGCUGGCCUUAAAGAAGCAAUCAUGUGUAAACUGCCUAUGGAGAGAGGAGCCCAUGUCAGGAAACUGUGGGUGGCCUCUAGUAGCUGAGGGCCUGAGUCCUGCAAUACCAAGGAACUGAGUUCUGCCAAUAAUCACAUGAUCUUGGAAGAGGUCCUAAGCUCCAGAAAAAAAUGCAGCCCAGCCAACACCUUGAUUGCAGCCUACUGACACCCUGAGCCUCUGAUCCAGGUAGGCCACGCCCAACCUCCUGACCCACAGAAACUGUGAGGUAAUAAACAUGUGUUGUUUCAAGUCACUAAAUUUGUUACACAACCAUAGAAAACUGAUAUAAUGCAUCAAGCCACAUUAGCACCCAGAAACUACUUACACAAUCAUACGAGGCAAUGAUUCUUCUUCUGAGGGAGCCACAUCCCCCAAGCCUAAAUCUUGAUUCCAGAACACAAAGUUCUGGCUGUGUCUGCCCUGGGGCUCUCUAUCUCUACAUCUGCUUUACAGGGAAGAGUUUUCACAGUGUGUCUUUAGAGAUUAUCUAUGGAAAGAGUGGCACAGCCUACCAGCAGGAUUGGCUAUAUAAUGUGUAAAACUCAGUAUGAAAUGAAAAUGUGGGCUCCUUGUUCAAAAAUUUUUAAGAAUUUCAAGACAGUGACAGCAGAGCCCAUCUAAGUUUGGGGCCCAUCUAAGAACGUGGCCUUGUGUAACUGCACAGGUCUCAAAAUCAUGAGGCCAGAUUUUACUAUUACACCAUGUUAGCCAUGCCUUGAGAAAAUUAUUUAAGCUGAACCUCAACAUACUCAUCUGGAGAAAACAACAUGCUGUAAGCUUCAGUACGGAGAAUUGUGAAAUUUAAAACAGAUGAUAUAUGUGGAAGUCUCUGACCUAGCAAUAGGUAUUCAAUAUAUGUUGACUUUUUUGUCUUCCUUUCAGUCUUUGCUUUUUAUUAAGCUAUCAGCCUCAAGCACCCAUCCUUCCUUACUCAUCUUUUUUUCUCCAAGCACAACUAAUAUAGGAAUUUUAAUCAUCCAAGAACACGCUGGCUACAGGUCAAGAAAAAUUAUUUCUUUUGAGACUCAUGACUUGUUUUCAGGUAUCUAUUCCUGUUUUAUUAUUUUAAAAAAUCAGCAAGUUACAUAAAGUUUUAUAGCACAAAUUCUGAAACAUCUCAAGGUUUUCCAACAUAGAUUUCUGUCAUUUGAUUACCCUUCUCUUAAUAAACCCAUCAUUAGAGAAUUUUCACUACCCAGUACUCCUGAGCAAUAUGGCACGCUUCCAUCAGUAUCAGUGACUUACCACAGAAGAUUCUCAGCUGAGUGUGUCUUGGGGGUUGGAAGGAGAUAUUAAGAACUAAAGCAGUCUCUCACAUUGUUUAUGAUUCUGACAAGGCAAGCAUGCAACUUACCACCACUACUUUGUUGAAAAUCAUUAUUUUAGAAAGAAUUUCAUAUAGUUUACCUUCCAAGGAUGUAGAGGGUUAUUUCAUUUUCAAUAUAUUCUUUCUGGAUCUACAGUUUUUAAUGACUUGUGAUUUCCUGACCAUGUAAAAUCUCAUGUAAGCAACACAUGACAUAAUUUAGGAUGUGAGAUUGGUUCAUACAUACAACCAGACAAUUGAGGGUCUAAAUUCAAAGCAUUUAUACUUGUCCCUCCCCAUGAAUAUAGGAAUCAAUGUAGCUGCUAGAGAGUAAGCCAAAUUACCAGCUUGCAUAUUUUUAUGUAAAUGGAAAAGGUAACUUUCCAUAUGCAUAAAUAGUGUUAACAUGCCUCUGAUUUUUAGGUGACUCACUCCUACAACCCCGUCCAACUCAGUCCCUAACAGAAUCACAGCCAAAUCUCCUUGGCAUACUGAGAUAAAACUCAAUAUUUUUUUCUGAGAAAAUUGUAUAAAUGCCAGUAACAAGUACUAAAAGUAUUAAAUAUAUAUCUUAGAUUCAUUUUUGUGUGUUGAAUGAUAUUUUUUAGGGUAUCCUAGGACCCCAAACAACAUUGGUAAGGAUGUUUUAAUUAUAUAAAGUCCCAAGUCAGUAAUUUAUAAACAAAAUUUUGGAAUGCCCCUUCACAUGAUUUGGAGUUUACAUGAAUUCAUAACAUUUAAAACCAUCAAGAGUACAGACCAAAGGAAGUUAUAAUAAAAGAAAAUGACACAUUAGUGAUACAUGUACUAUCUUAUCAGAAAGUUUUUCCUUCCAUCCUUUCUACAAAUCCAUGACUCGCAGCUAUUAUUAUUUAUUAUUUUGUACCAACAUGGUACACUGAGGUCAAUAUUGGUAUGGCAUCCCUUCCCUCUUGUCCUUCAUUCCGUGUUUAUAACAUAAAAGGUAGUGGCUAAAACCAUGAGACACAGGUUCUUGUUCCAUCUAAGAGAUCAGGAGGGUAUAUCUGGUUUUUAAACAACAGAAAACUAAACAUUUGAUUGUAACAAAAUAAAAAUGAAUAAAGGGAGGAAAGGAAUGAAAGUGGGAAAGGAAGAAAGAUAAAAAGAAAACCAAGAAAAGCUAUGAGGUUGGUGCAAAAGUAAUUGAGGUUUUUGCCAUUACUUUUGCACCAACCUAAUAGUUAAACCUGUGUGGUUGAAGAGAGUCACAGUGACAGAGAUCACAAAAGGGAGUGAAAGGGAACCAGAGACUAAACUUCAAGGCAGUUGAGCCAGAUAAUAAGGCUGCAGCAGAUCAGAGAAGAUGUGUCCAAAUCGCAGUGCACUUCAGAGAAAUGAGCCCAUAUUUACUAAAUAAAUGUCAUUACUUUUAUAUUCACAGCCAAGAAAGAAUAGAGCAACUUCUGCCACCUCAAUGACAGCUUAGAUAAGUUCAGGUUCAAUUUAGACACAAUUACAUCUUUUCUUUAAAGUGAACAUUAUUUUCACAGUUUAUUAAUGUCAAUUCCAUAAAGCUAAGUAUCUGUAUCUUCACUAUGAUAAAAGCAAGUAGACUUUCUCAUCUGUGACCUUCAAAAAUAUCCCAGAAGAGUGGUCAUGAGAGUUUCAACUAAGGUUUAAUAUCAGAGGAAAUUGAAAAAAGGAAAUGGAUUCAAAUGAAUUUUCAGCAAUAGAAUCUACAGGACUUAAUCAAAAUACGAAAUGAUGGAAGAAAUAGAACAUAAAAUCACAGCACGUUUAACAUGAUACAUGCUGAAAACACAUACACUUAGCACUAAGAAAUUAAGGCAUUAAUAAACUCAAGAAAGAGAAUUUCCAGGCCAGGCACGGUGGCUCACACCUGUAAUCCCAGCACUUUGGGAGGCCGAGGCAGGCAGAUCAUGAGAUCAGGAGU